AAUUAACGCUGGCAGAGUGCAUAACACAUGCAAGUCGAGCGGAACUGUUUGAGAUUACAUCAAGGGCAGUUUAGCGGCAGACGAGUGAGUAACACGUAAGCAAUCUACCCUCGAAUGGCGAAUAACUAUCCGAAAGGAUAGCUAAUGCGCCGUACUCUCCUUGGAAGGCAUCUUCCGAGGAGGAUAGACCAGCAAUGGUCGUUCAAGGAGGAGCUGUCGGCCCAUCAGCUAGUUGGCGGUGUAACGGACCACCAAGGCUACGACGGGGUACCCCGGCCUGAAAGGGCGAACGGGCACGAUGGCACUGAGACACGGGCCAUACUCCUACGGGGAGGCAGCAGUGGGGGAAUUUUUGGACAAUGGGGCGAAAAGCCUGAUCCAGCAACUCUGCGUG
rnacentral:rRNA from 1 species